CGUAGGGUGCGAGCGUUAAUCGGAAUUACUGGGCGUAAAGCGUGCGCAGGCGGUUUUGUAAGACAGAUGUGAAAUCCCCGGGCUCAACCUGGGACCUGCAUUUGUGACUGCAAGGCUAGAGUACGGUAGAGGGGGAUGGAAUUCCGCGUGUAGCAGUGAAAUGCGUAGAUAUGCGGAGGAACACCGAUGGCGAAGGCAAUCCCCUGGGCCUGCACUGACGCUCAUGCACGAAAGCGUGGGGAGCAAACAGGAUUAGAUACCCUGGUAGUCCACGCCCUAAACGAUGUCAACUGGUUGUUGGGUCUUUACUGACUCAGUAACGAAGCUAACGCGUGAAGUUGACCGCCUGGGGAGUACGGCCGCAAGGUUG
rnacentral:rRNA from 1 species